rnacentral:lncRNA from 1 species
AAAAGCUAUUUCAACCCCCCUCCCAGUUACUGCCACCCUCUCCCAGGUCUAGAGAGGGGUACCCACGGUGGAGGGAGGUGGGAGGCCGAGACGGCCCCGGGGGUCGGCGGAGACCCAGCGGGAGCAGGGGGAAAUCGGAAGAGCUGGGGGCAUGGAGCGGGCGAGUUUGGAGCGGAAUGAGCCGGGAGCCCUACGUUGUGGAAGGAAGACAACAGUAUAGGACCAUCAGCAGGACCGGACAGAGAGGGGCACACCAGGCUGGCCUUGAACUCAGAAAUCCGCCUGCCUCUGACUCCCGAGUGCUGAGAUUAAAGGUGUGCACCACCACACCCGACAAGGAAGCCUGUUUUAAGAAGUGAUUCCAUGGAGGAGUUCUGCGGCGGCUCAGGGCUUGACUAAACAGUGGACCUCAGACAAGAGAGGCUAAACCAGGCUGCAGGUGACAGGAAGAAUUGAAUAAACUGAAAGCAAAGGGCAGCCUUCUAAUUACGCUUCGUGGCUAUGUGGACAACCUGGAGAAGUCUGGAAACCCAGCCCCACCCCAUCACAUUCUUACUCCUUCCCUUUCCAAGAAAGAAGCCAGAAGCCCGAAGCCAGCAGUAGAGCUCUGACUGGCUUGUAUGCCUAGAAAGGAAGGGCUCUUCUUUCGCCUCACGGGCACAAAUGGGACCCACGAGCGCCGAUUUCAGACUAUUCUGAUCCCUUCAAAAAGAAAGUUAGGAGUCCAGGCUACUGUGAGUGAAUUUGAUUCUAAUUGUUUCAGAGAAUAUGGAAUAAAAUAUCUCAUUUGCAGUUGUUUA